CUGCUCAAUGAAAUUAAUUAAAUAGCCGCAGUAAAUUAACUGUGCUAAGGUAGCAUAAUAAUUAGUUUUUUAAUUAAAAACUAGAAUGAAAGAGAAAAUGAAAAAUUAACUUUUUAAUUAUAAUAAAUAAAUAUAAAUUAAUUUAUAAGUUAAAAAUCUUAUAUAAAAUAAAAAGACAAGAAGACCCUUUAGAAUUUUAUAAAUAAAAAAAUUUAAUAAUUAUAAAUUUGAAUAUUUAUUAAGUUGGGGAGACUAUGAAAUAUUAAAAACUUUCACUUUUUUAAAACAAAAAUAAAUGAAUCUAUAAAUAUCCAGUUAACAGCCGAAUAAAAAACAAAUUACCUAAGGGAUAACAGCGUAAAAUUUCUAAAAAGAUCAAAUUUACAGAAUAAAUUACGACCUCGAUGUUGGAUUAAGAAAAAAUUAUAAAGAAGAAUUUAUAAAAAUUAGGUCUGUUCGACCUUUAAUCUCUU
rnacentral:rRNA from 1 species